rnacentral:rRNA from 1 species
AUUGAACGCUGGCGGCAGGCCUAACACAUGCAAGUCGAGCGGCAGCGGAAAGUAGCUUGCUACUUUGCCGGCGAGCGGCGGACGGGUGAGUAAUGUCUGGGAAACUGCCUGAUGGAGGGGGAUAACUACUGGAAACGGUAGCUAAUACCGCGUAAUGUCGCAAGACCAAAGAGGGGGACCUUCGGGCCUCUUGCCAUCAGAUGUGCCCAGAUGGGAUUAGCUAGUAGGUGGGGUAACGGCUCACCUAGGCGACGAUCCCUAGCUGGUCUGAGAGGAUGACCAGCCACACUGGAACUGAGACACGGUCCAGACUCCUACGGGAGGCAGCAGUGGGGAAUAUUGCACAAUGGGCGCAAGCCUGAUGCAGCCAUGCCGCGUGUAUGAAGAAGGCCUUCGGGUUGUAAAGUACUUUCAGCGGGGAGGAAGGUGUUGAGGUUAAUAACCUCAGCAAUUGACGUUACCCGCAGAAGAAGCACCGGCUAACUCCGUGCCAGCAGCCGCGGUAAGAC